GCGUCGGUGGUGCAACGGUUAAGCACAUGCUCCCGGAAAGAGUAAGAUCUGGGUUCAAUUUCCGGCUGACGCA